rnacentral:tRNA from 1 species
GGGGAUGUGGCUCAAGUGGUAGAGUGCUCGCCUAGCAUGUGUGAGGCACUGGGUUCGAUUCUCAGCACCACA